UGUGAGGGAUGAGUUACACUCUGAUGGAGCCAUGGUAUCAGGUGAUACAGGAACCACUCAGAAUCACCCUGGUGAAAAAAAUCAAGUAAAUAUACAAA
rnacentral:snoRNA from 1 species